UGACCUCAGAUCAGGUAGGACUACCCGCUGAACUUAAG
rnacentral:rRNA from 1 species